CACAUGAACACAGGCGCAUAGCUGCACAUACGUAGUGUCUCCUCCUCUUUUGUGCUCAUAGUCGGUGCUUCCAUUUUGCUGUUACAGAAACGCACACGCACACACGCACAGGCUCAGCGGCUCCGUGUCGCCCUUUUCGCUUGCUUUGGUUUCUUCCGACUUUGAUUCGGGCAGCGCACGUCGCUGCGCUUCUUAUUUGCUGUCGUUGGCGCUGCUUUCGGCUCUGCAACGUGCCUCCGUCCUUUUUUUUUCACACUCUGAGGACGAACAGUGACGAAAAGUUGUGCAAGCGGGAUGGCGUCGAAGCUGGACAUUAUCGUGUUGGGCGCCACAGGCUUUACCGGGCGGCUCACAUGUCGCUACCUCGCACGAAAGGCGGAGCUAAAGGGGCGCUGGGGCAUCGCUGGUCGCAGCCAGGCCAAGUUGGCGGCUCUCAAAGCAGAGCUGGAUAUCAAUGUGCCCACGUUUGUGGUGGACGCCGACAAGGCAGCAACUGUGGAUUCAGCGUGCGCGCAGACGACGUGCGUGAUCUCUUGCAUGGGGCCCUUCACGCUGGUUGGCAUGCCCGUGGUUGAUGCGUGCGUGCGCAACGGCACCCACUACAUCGACUGCACCGGCGAAACCCCGUUUGUGCGCCGCGCGAUCGCCGCAUACCACGAGACUGCGGCAAAAAAGGGCGUUGCGAUCGUGCCAUGUUGCGGCUUCGACUGCGUACCGGCAGACCUGGGAAACUACGUUGUUCAUCGCGAGGCUGGGGAGUCGUUGACAGUCGUGCGUGGUUACUUUGAAGGCAGUCCUGCUGGUGUAUCGAACGGCACAAUUAACUCGAUAGGGUGCGUGCUAGACAGCAUGACAGGGGAGGAUAUGAGCCCCCUGGCGCUGGUGUCGAAGUCAGACGUGCAGCCCGCGUGUACGCCCACGCGCUACGGCGUGUGGUACGAAAACGGACGGUUCACCGGCUUAUUUGUCACUGCCUCGUGUGAUGAGAAACUGGUGCGCCGCACCAACAGCCUCAUGGGCUCCUCGGCCGCGUACGUGGAGGCCAUGCAGGGGCCCUUUGCUCGUGUGAUGCGCCUCACGCUUUCGACCUACGUAGCGCUUAUAGCGGGGAUGAUUGCGCCGCUGCGCCGCUGGAUGCUCAGCAAGUACUUCACCGGCACCAGCAUUGGCCCAUCCGACGAGGCCAUGGCCAAAUCCAGCUUCCGCUGCGACUUUGUGGGCAGGACGGUGUCUGGCAAGCGUGUGGAGACGACGAUGUCGGCCAAGGAAGACGCCUACACUGCCACGGCGCUGUUCCUUGGUGAGUGUGCCAUGAGUGUGCUGAAGUUGGCGCGCAAGCAGUCGCUCAAGGGCGGUGUCCUGACGCCAGCCUACGCCUUUGGCGAUGAGCUGGUGCAUCGCUGUCGGGAUGCAGGGAUCAGCAUCAACACGGUGAUCAUCGAUCGCGCAGCAGAGCCAAAGAAAGCACGGUAGCUUCGUCCGCCACGGUCGACAGAAACCUUUGUUGCUUGAUGAUUGUGCGCGGUCAUCCUAUUCAGUACCUCUUCCCCCGUCCCCCAACCCGAGCGCCGUCCCUUGUGCGACUGCUCGCGAUGCGUCAAGUUCGUGGUGGCCCGCUCCCCAUUCACGAUGCACUUCGCCCGUUCCCGCCCACGCCUCCUUUUUUUUCUUAAUAGUGCUUUUAUCCGAAGUGUAGCCGUUCUCGCGUGUGCUAUGGGAGUCUGUCCACAUGAGGUGCCGUGGGAGGGGGGAGAGGGCUUCCAGCG
rnacentral:misc_RNA from 1 species